UUAGUAUAAUUACAUAGGUGAUUAUUGAAAAUUCUCCACGCUGAUUGGUUGCCGUUGAGGUGAUUAUUACGCGAUAAUCACCUAAGCGAUUUUCAAAAUGGCGGCCGAAGCCGUUUUUUCCAUUAAAUGACGAAGAAAUGUGCAUUUUUAAAUUUUUUUCCAAAUAAUCACCUAUGAAAUUAUACUAAAACAAUUAUUCACCUCAGGCUCGGUGAUUAUCGCGAAUAAAAACCUCGACUUCGUCUCGGUUUUUAUUCACCGAUAAUCACCUCGCCUUCGGCGAAUAAUUGUUAAUUAAAU
rnacentral:lncRNA from 1 species